AUCUAGAAGACCAAUCAUGACAGAAAUUACCGAGCAGAACUAAACAAUGCACCCAACAAAUAGCAACUUAACAUCUCAACACCAUUCAAACAAUUUAUUGAGUAAGAAAGUAGUAUAAGCGGUUAAUUGCAAUACAAAGUUUCUCGCAUUUCCAUGACCAGAAAAAUGAUACAUUUCCAUUACAGAACUGCCACCCAUGUAGAGUAGAUGGAAAAACUUAAGCACAUGCUAUGCAGAUCAUCUUUUUAUUGCAGCAUAAAAAGUGGAUGGAAACAUAAAGAGUAAGGGCGUGGGUGACAGUAUAUUCCAAAAUAAAUGGCAUAGCAACAACUUUGUAUGUGAAGCCAACACAGCCCGACUGUAGAUAGCCUAACUAACCCAAAUAAGUAUCACCAGUUGAAAAAAAAAAUCCAUUUACAAUAACCACACAAAGCAACAAAAAGAUAAUUUUACUGGUCUUAUUUAAUAAGCAUAUGAUAUCUCAAAAAAUUGAAAAUACACCCAACAAAUAAGAACCAAAUCAGUUAACAAGGUGUGCCACCAAACAAUCUAAUAGUAUAGACAUGAAUAAACUUCAAAUCAUAAAAUGCCUAGAAAAUUUCCCAAAAGUCAAAACCUGUUCACGGCAACAAUAACAUUAAAAUCCACUAAAAGACAAAUCGUGCACGGAUCGCCGGUCAACACCCAAACAAAAAUCUAGUCGCCACAUCGAUACACAUCCUUUUAUCCAUAAUAGCUCAAUCACACAAAAAAUCCAGCAUGUAGUAGACAGAAAUCCAGAAAUAGCAAAUAUCAACUCUAAAGCACAUUAUAGCUAUGAUGUAAAAAAACAAGAGAGAAAAAGGCGCAC
rnacentral:lncRNA from 1 species